rnacentral:rRNA from 1 species
AGAGUUUGAUCAUGGCUCAGAUUGAACGCUGGCGGCAUGCCUUACACAUGCAAGUCGAACGGCAGCGCGGGGCAACCUGGCGGCGAGUGGCGAACGGGUGAGUAAUAUAUCGGAACGUACCCUGGAGUGGGGGAUAACGUAGCGAAAGUUACGCUAAUACCGCAUACGAUCUAAGGAUGAAAGUGGGGGAUUCGCAAGAACCUCAUGCUCCUGGAGCGGCCGAUAUCUGAUUAGCUAGUUGGUGGGGUAAAGGCCUACCAAGGCAUCGAUCAGUAGCUGGUCUGAGAGGACGACCAGCCACACUGGAACUGAGACACGGUCCAGACUCCUACGGGAGGCAGCAGUGGGGAAUUUUGGACAAUGGGCGAAAGCCUGAUCCAGCAAUGCCGCGUGAGUGAAGAAGGCCUUCGGGUUGUAAAGCUCUUUUGUCAGGGAAGAAACGGUAUGGGCUAAUAUCCCGUACUAAUGACGGUACCUGAAGAAUAAGCACCGGCUAACUACGUGCCAGCAGCCGCGGUAAUACGUAGGGUGCAAGCGUUAAUCGGAAUUACUGGGCGUAAAGCGUGCGCAGGCGGUUUUGUAAGUUUGUCGUGAAAGCCCCGGGCUCAACCUGGGAAUUGCGAUGAAGACUGCAAGGCUUGAAUCUGGCAGAGGGGGGUAGAAUUCCACGUAGCAGUGAAAUGCGUAGAGAUGUGGAGGAACACCGAUGGCGAAGGCAGCCCCCUGGGUCAAGAUUGACGCUCAUGCACGAAAGCGUGGGGAGCAAACAGGAUUAGAUACCCUAGUAGUCC